rnacentral:rRNA from 1 species
AUCCACCUGAAUCGUGUAUGAGUACCGGCUGAACUUAAGCAUAUCAGUAAGCCGAGGAAGACUAACAAGAGUCCUCAGUA